ACUUUUGUUGGCAGUGGUCGGUGUAGUGUGUUGACGACUGUAAAUCUCCACAAUACCGUGUUACCCCGCUGUGGCAGGUGAUGGCAUUGUGCAGGAGACACCCUGAGGACUCCUGGGAGGUGAGGGAGGCGAUGUCACUGACGGAGCGAGGCUUGGAGUGGGCAAAUCUUGAUGGCCGUGGUGACGCUUCACCGCCCCGAGAGCCACCGCUGCUACGCACUACGCAUCCCAACACCAGGUGGCUUUCUGGCUCAGUGCUCGUCUUGUGGCUUCAAUGUUGCGAGUUCGAGUUUGGCUCAUGGAAGUUUGUUGGAGGAAGAGGCAUCUGCAGCACUAUUCCCGCCCUUCCUCUCUCGGUCUCUCCUUGCCUGUGCGUCGCCCCAGCUCUCUCCGCCGCAGCCUUGCAUAACACCGGUGCUGGGGUCAUGUAAGCCAGAUUGCAUAUUGUCCUGUGUCUCGCUGCCGCCUGUUGCGACAUCGGCCGGCAUACGUAACACUGCAGUCAACGCCUCCUGAAGGGCAGUGCUCGCCAGCCCCGAAGAGACGCUCCAGGGUCGCUGCCCUUCUGUCUGUCUGUCUAUCUACCAGAAACUCCACACAUGUACUUUGCUCGGGUAGAUUCUUUUUUCCCUUUUUUAUUUAUCUAUUUAUUUAUUUUUUUUUUAUUGAUAAGUAAACCUAAUCUAUCAUGGUAACUGGACUUUUGAACUUUUUUAACUUCCUGUUUCUCCUCUUCACAUCACCCCGCUGUACAUAACUCUCUUCUCGAUGUCACCACCUUACUAGUCUGUCCACCUUACUAGCGGGAGAGUUAGCCAUUAUCUUUGCUCUUUCAUUCUUUUCAUUGGUAAACUCAGUAACUUUUUUUUUCUGUUUUUCAUCCUACCAUGACUUGAACCUUCAGAAGAUUCAUACCACAACAUCAUUAUCGUGUAGCAUACUUAACCGUAGCGCCAUGUGACUUCAAUUGUCUACCGCAUAAUAGUACACUGGCAGGUGCUGUUAACGUAAGGAAGAAAUUAGC